AUACAUGCAAGUCGAGCGGACAGAUGGGAGCUUGCUCCCUGAAGUUAGCGGCGGACGGGUGAGUAACACGUGGGCAACCUGCCCUGCAGAUGGGGAUAACUCCGGGAAACCGGGGCUAAUACCGAAUAAUCAGUUCCUCCGCAUGGAGGAACUCUGAAAGACGGUUUCGGCUGUCACUGCAGGAUGGGCCCGCGGCGCAUUAGCUAGUUGGUGGGGUAACGGCCUACCAAGGCGACGAUGCGUAGCCGACCUGAGAGGGUGAUCGGCCACACUGGGACUGAGACACGGCCCAGACUCCUACGGGAGGCAGCAGUAGGGAAUCUUCCACAAUGGACGAAAGUCUGAUGGAGCAACGCCGCGUGAGCGAAGAAGGUUUUCGGAUCGUAAAGCUCUGUUGCGAGGGAAGAACACGUACGAGAGUAACUGCUCGUACCUUGACGGUACCUCGUCAGAAAGCCACGGCUAACUACGUGCCAGCAGCCGCGGUAAUACGUAGGUGGCAAGCGUUGUCCGGAAUUAUUGGGC
rnacentral:rRNA from 1 species